rnacentral:misc_RNA from 1 species
CCGAGUUUUCAACUCCCAAACCCCUGUGAACAUACCUCGACGUUGCUUCGGCGGGACCGCCCCGGUCGCCCCUCGCGGGCGGACCGGAACCAGGCGCCCGCCGGAGGACCACAAACUCUGAAUGUUAGUGUCGUCUGAGUACUAUACAAUAGUUA